GAUGAACGCUGGCGGCGUGCUUAACACAUGCAAGUCGAACGGAAAGGCCCAAGCUUGCUUGGGUCCUCGAGUGGCGAACGGGUGAGUAACACGUGGGUGAUCUGCCCUGCACUUCGGGAUAAGCCUGGGAAACUGGGUCUAAUACCGGAUAGGACCACAUUUUGGAUGGUGUGGUGGAAAGUUUUUCGGUGUGGGAUGAGCUCGCGGCCUAUCAGCUUGUUGGUGGGGUAAUGGCCUACCAAGGCGUCGACGGGUAGCCGGCCUGAGAGGGUGUACGGCCACAUUGGGACUGAGAUACGGCCCAGACUCCUACGGGAGGCAGCAGUGGGGAAUAUUGCACAAUGGGCGCAAGCCUGAUGCAGCGACGCCGCGUGGGGGAUGACGGCCUUCGGGUUGUAAACUACUUUCGCUAGGGACGAAGCGCAAGUGACGGUACCUGGAGAAGAAGCACCGGCUAACUACGUG
rnacentral:rRNA from 1 species